rnacentral:rRNA from 1 species
UACGAAGGGGGCUAGCGUUGCUCGGAAUCACUGGGCGUAAAGCGCACGUAGGCGGCUUUGUAAGUUAGAGGUGAAAGCCCGGAGCUCAACUCCGGAAUUGCCUUUAAGACUGCAUCGCUCGAAUCAUGGAGAGGUGAGUGGAAUUCCGAGUGUAGAGGUGAAAAUUCGUAGAUAUUCGGAAGAACACCAGUGGCGAAGGCGACUCACUGGACAUGUAUUGACGCUGAGGUGCGAAAGCGUGGGGAGCAAACAGG